rnacentral:rRNA from 1 species
AUUGAACGCUGGCGGCGUGCCUAACACAUGCAAGUCGAGCGGAGCGGCGGACGGGUGAGUAAUGCCUAUGAAUCUGCCUGGUCGUGGGGGAUAACGUCCGGAAACGGGCGCUAAUACCGCAUACUAUCAGAUGAGCCUAGGUCGGAUUAGCUAGUUGGUGGGGUAAAGGCCUACCAAGGCGGCGAUCCGUAACUGGUCUGAGAGGAUGAUCAGUCACCCGGGAAAGGAGACACGCGCCAGAGUCCUACGGGAGGCAGCAGUGGGGAAUAGUGGACAAUGGGCGAAAGUCUUAUGCAGCCAUGCCGCGUGUAGGAAGAAGGCCCUAGGGUUGUAAAGGACUUUCAGUCGUGAGGCGUUACAGGCAGAAGAAGCACCGGCUAACUCCGUGCCAGCAGCCGCGGUAAUAC